GAUGAACGCUGGCGGCGUGCCUAAUACAUGCAAGUCGAGCGAACAGACGAGGAGCUUGCUCCUCUGACGUUAGCGGCGGACGGGUGAGUAACACGUGGAUAACCUACCUAUAAGACUGGGAUAACUUCGGGAAACCGGAGCUAAUACCGGAUAAUAUAUUGAACCGCAUGGUUCAAUAGUGAAAGACGGUGUUUCUGUCACUUAUAGAUGGAUCCGCGCCGCAUUAGCUAGUUGGUAAGGUAACGGCUUACCAAGGCAACGAUGCGUAGCCGACCUGAGAGGGUGAUCGGCCACACGGGAACUGAGACAGGGUCCAGAGUCCUACGGGAGGCAGCAGUAGGGAACGUUACGCAAUGGGCGGAAGCCUGACGGAGCAACGCCGCGUGAGUGAUGACGGUCUUCCGAUCGUAAAACUCUGUUACUAGGGAAGAACAAAUGUGUAAGUAACUAUGCACGUCUUGACGGUACCUAAUCAGAAAGCCACGGCUAACUACGUG
rnacentral:rRNA from 1 species